rnacentral:lncRNA from 1 species
GCUUGGCCCUUUGACAAUAGGUGGUUUAAUAACAUUCUUAUGGAUUAACUCGUUGAUGAAUGGAGGGCCCACUUUACGACGAGAAAGAAUUUGUACUCUAUAAAGCGAUAUUGAGCUGUAGUUAUCAAGUGGUCGUGUACUGUGUCUAUAGGAGAAUCUUUUAUCAACAUUUCUUUGACUACACUCAUUGCGGGCAUCCCUAUAACAUUUCUUUGCCUACACUCAUUGCGGGCAUCCCUCUCGGUCGAUAUUUCAGUAUUCCUAUAUACCCUACAAAAGAUGAAGUCUAUCAUAAACCCGGACUCCAUUAUCAUCUCGUCCUGUACCGUGGUCAAGUUAGGGACUCUCUCGAAAACUGGGUGAUCCCUAGCUGAUGCGAUCCAGCCGAGAUGGCGGAUCAACCGGAUCUUUCAUUCCAUGCCUUAUCUUUCGUUUUACAGAACUUCUAGCACUCGAAGCAUUCUCCUUAUGAUGAGAGAGAUGGUCUUGUUAGAAGGCGAGUAGUCCCUCUUGGAUCUUCUUCCUGCCAUUAGCUAAGAGACAGCUGGAUCGGACCUCUAUCUCGGACUUCCUGAAUUCAUGCUGGUUACAAAGAGAAAUCCACUCGCGGAAUCAGGACCUUGGCCAAAGAUGGAGUAAUAGGUUUCCGGGUAUGUGAGAACUUGUCGUCUUUGUCAGCAGGACCGUCGUGGAGCGGGUUGGAGCCAUUGCCUAUACAACAUCAAAAAGCUUCCAUCGCCCCGGAGAGACUUAGCUUAAUCUGGACGUCUUCCCAUUUCCAUUAAUUCCUUGACUUGUAACGAUAGUUCCUUUAAGACCAGUAUAGGGCUUUCAGGCGCCUGAUCUUAAUGAUAGGUGCGGUGCCGAGUGAAAGGCAAAAGUCAAGAUUACGUGCACCCAUGUCAAAGGUAACCGAGUCAUCGGAAAGGAAAAGGGAAUAGGUGGUUUUGCGCAUCCAAGGAUAAGGGUUUUGUUGCUUAAUAGCGGAUUCGUAGGUUACUAAAAAGAAAGUGGGAUUGGAAAUGGAACUCUCGACCUGACCUGGGGCGGAUAGGAAUUUCGACUUUCAAUGGAAUCAUUGGCUGGAUCGAGAUUAGAGCCCUUUCAUGAGUUUGAGCCCAGAGAGAUACCAAACUAACUGGACCUACUCCAUACACUUUUGGAAAAGUAGGAGCUUGUUAGUUAGUAUUUAUAGUAUGCUGUGGUUAGUGACUUAAUUGUAUCAUAUGCAACCUAAGCUAACGCUGACUUUUCUGUUGUUGCACUGGGCAAUAAUAAAGUAAAGGUGCUUGGCUUUCCCUUCCUUGACCUGACCGCAGGGUUUUUACUGAAUUCUAUUAGAUGAGCGCUCUCUUCAACAAGCAAGGGAACAAGUGAGUUUGUCGGCGCAAGAACAAGUGUAUGAGUGACAGAAGCCCUUUAACGAGGUGAGUUAACCGGCGCAAGAACAAGUGUAUGAGUGACAGAAGCCUUUUCUCGAGUGCUUUUCGACCUUGUAGUUUCAGAGUAGAGUUCCAGAAGUGCUUGUGUGCCAACCGUCCUUUGAAAUGAGUAAACGUUCUUUCUUCAUUGUCAAUAGUGCCCUUUCAGAUGUGUGGUGGGAGACCCGAUCUUAGAUCCUAAAUGGAGUCUCGUUGCAGGAAUGGGAUAAAUAAAGAAAUACUAUUACUGAUUUCAAUGAGAGUGGGAAGGAAGAGAGCAAGGAAGAGGCAUUCUGUUCUAUACUUUAGAGUGAGAAUCCUGGAGAAGAAGAGAAAAUCAUAUAAUCGAUUCUAUAUCCUCCAUAAAAGAAGGAGCUGUUAGUUAACUUAUGUAUGACUGACUUUAUCCAUUUUCAUGUAAUUCUCCAAUCUAUUUCUCUUACCAGCAAGCGGGAACGAAAGAAUAAGCAAUUGGGGGGCAGUAUGGAACUUGAUUCAAUAAUAAGAUAUAAGGCCCAAUGAAACAAACUAACUAACUAUGUUUUGAUUCGGAGGAUUGGGAAGUCAAUAAGAUAAAGUAUAGUAAGGCUUAUGAAUUACAGUACUUGGUGCAGGGAUAUAAUACCCCGUAUAUCAUGAGGCAAGAGAGAUAGAACUUUCUCAUUGCCGAGAGGUUUACUUCAGACUUCGAAGCCUCUAUUUCGGGUGCUUGCUUGAAACCCGGCCCGGCCCUGACUCUUUUUGUUUCCUAUCAAGAACCACUUCCCUUAGGCAACUCCAUUUACUGACUUACUAUUUCUCUAUCUCCAUAUGCCUCUGUCUAUCUUCCGACUAUUUCUCUAUCUCCAUAUGCCUCUGUCUAUCUUCCCCUUUUCCACGGGCUGGCUAAUCGAGUGAGUGCUUUUUGUGCAGAAAGAGUUAGGUAAGAAGGAAAGUUCUCAGAUACAGCAAUGCUUCUCUCUGGGAAAAAAACACUUGAUGAGGCUUCCUUACCAGAAGAGAAAGAGAAAGGAGAUGGACUGAUUCUAUGGUAGUGUUUAUUGCUUUCAACCUCCUCAAUUUCCUUCUCUCGUAUGCCAUCUGAGGACCUUGAUCCCCACUAUAGUAGCCCGAGUAAGAAAGUCCAAAUAUUCAAAUAAUGGAAAAACGCGAAGUUGACAGUUCUCUUUUUGCUAGAUUGACCUGACUUCAUUCGUGAAAAUCCGAACCUAUUGUAUUCCUGGCUGGAUCAGACCUCUAUGGGCCGAGCUCGUUCUUUCAUUUUAGGGAUUUUCUUAAAGGAAAGAGAAUUCUCUGGAUUGGAAAGUGCCCCCAGGUACGUAGACCUCGAUCCAAGCCCUUUUGUUACGUUAAUGGGAUAUCUGCUUUGGCAUUUCCCAAGUUCCGUUCUUCUAAAGCUUUGAUUCUUGAAACCUUAUUUCUUUGAUUUCCUUUGGAGCGGUAGAGAAAAAGAAGUAGACUCUCGUUAACUAAUUCGAAAAAGCAUGCUUAGAAACGUCUCUCUUUUGGAGGGUUGGAAGAAUCUAAUAUGAACAUGGAUUUCUAGUCCUUAAGUGUUGUAUAUUUUAUGGUUCUUUUUAUAUGAAAGCGGAUUGGAGACUUGACCGCGUUAAGCUAGCCCUCCGAACCGCUCUCGCUCGAUCAUUUGAAUAGGGGAAGUCAUCAGCUAAAAAAACUCCUGCAAGCCGCCCACUAAGUAAGAGCUCUGGCAAAUCAUUGAAUAGGAGUGUUGGAAAGCACUCAACUCAAACCUGCGCAGGAACAAGUAUAGUUGAGAGAGGUCGGGCCGGGUGUUAGUGUUUAAGUAGAGUUAUUGUGCGAAGAAAAUCCAGUAUAGGGUCGAAUGGCCUGAGUGUCCCGCUGCUUAGCCUUGUGAAACUGAUUGUACUGCUGGAGCAAUUGUGAAACUGAUUGUACUGCUGGAGCAAGUAGGUUCGAUAGGUGGGGUAUAUUUCCGAGUGGAGAUAGGUUGGGGAAGAAGAAAGUGUAUAUCCUAUAGAAGCAGGACUAUAAGCAAGAUCCGAAAGAGUUCAUUCCGUUUCUGUCGAGGUCCAGUCUCAAGUCGAGUCACAG